UACGAAGGGGGCUAGCGUUGCUCGGAAUCACUGGGCGUAAAGCGCACGUAGGUGGGUCGCUAAGUCGGGGGUGAAAUCCUGGAGCUCAACUCCAGAACUGCCUUCGAUACUGGCGAUCUUUGAGUCCGGGAGAGGUGGGUGGAACUGCGAGUGUAGAGGUGAAAUUCGUAGAUAUUCGCAAGAACACCAGUGGCGAAGGCGGCUCACUGGCCCGGUACUGACACUGAGGUGCGAAAGCGUGGGGAGCGAACAGG
rnacentral:rRNA from 1 species